GAGUUUGAUCAUGGCUCAGAUUGAACGCUGGCGGCAUGCCUUACACAUGCAAGUCGAACGGCAGCACGGGAGCUUGCUCCUGGGUGGCGAGUGGCGAACGGGUGAGUAAUGCAUCGGAACGUAUCCUGGAGUGGGGGAUAACGUAGCGAAAGUUACGCUAAUACCGCAUAUUCUGUGAGCAGGAAAGCGGGGGACCUUCGGGCCUCGCGCUCUUGGAGCGGCCGAUGUCGGAUUAGCUAGUUGGUGAGGUAAAGGCUCACCAAGGCGACGAUCCGUAGCAGGUCUGAGAGGAUGAUCUGCCACACUGGAACUGAGACACGGUCCAGACUCCUACGGAGGCAGCAGUGGGGAAUUUUGGACAAUGGGGGCAACCCUGAUCCAGCCAUGCCGCGUGAGUGAAGAAGGCCUCGGUUGUAAGUA
rnacentral:rRNA from 1 species